rnacentral:rRNA from 1 species
ACCUGGAGGAAGAGAAAGCAAAUGCGAUUUCCUGAGUAGCGGCGAGCGAAACGGAAUCUAGCCCAAACCAAGAGGCUUGCCUCUUGGGGUUGUAGGACAUUCUAUACGGAGUUACAAAGGAACGAGGUAGACGAAGCGACCUGGAAAGGUCCGUCACAGAGGGUAAUAACCCCGUAGUCGAAACUUCGUUCUCUCUUGAAUGUAUCCUGAGUAC